GAUGAACGCUGGCGGCGUGCUUAACACAUGCAAGUCGAACGGAAAGGCUCCUGCUUGCAGGGGUACUCGAGUGGCGAACGGGUGAGUAACACGUGGGUGGUCUGCCCUGCACUUCGGGAUAAGCCUGGGAAACUGGGUCUAAUACCGGAUAGGACGAUGGUUUGGAUGCCAUUGUGGAAAGUUUUUCGGUGUGGGAUGAGCUCGCGGCCUAUCAGCUUGUUGGUGGGGUAAUGGCCUACCAAGGCGUCGACGGGUAGCCGGCCUGAGAGGGUGUACGGCCACAUUGGGACUGAGGUACGGCCCAGACGCCUACGGGAGGCAGCAGUGGGGGAUAGUGCAGAAUGGGCGCAAGCCUGAUGCAGCGACGCCGCGUGGGGGAUGACGGCCUUCGGGGUGUAGACGCCUUUCGCUAGGGACGAAGCGCAAGUGACGGUACCUGGAGAAGAAGCACCGGCUAACUACGUG
rnacentral:rRNA from 1 species